rnacentral:rRNA from 1 species
UACGUAGGGGGCUAGCGUUGUCCGGAUUUAUUGGGCGUAAAGAGCGUGUAGGCGGCCAGGUAGGUCUGGUGUGAAAACUCGAGGCUUAACCUCGAGAUGUCAUCGGAAACCAUCUGGCUAGAGUCCGGGAGAGGAGAGUGGAAUUCCUGGUGUAGCGGUGAAAUGCGCAGAUAUCAGGAAGAACACCCGUGGCGAAAGCGGCUCUCUGGACCGGUACUGACGCUGAGGCGCGAAAGCGUGGGGAGCAAACAGG